UAGGGAAUAUUGGACAAUGGGGGGAACCCUGAUCCAGCCAUGCCGCGUGAGGGAAGAAGGUCCUCUGGAUUGUAAACCUCUUUUGGCGGGGGACAAACCUGCACUAUACGUGCAGCUGAGGGUACCCGCAGAAUAAGCACCGGCUAACUCCGUGCCAGCAGCCGCGGUAAUACGGAGGGUGCAAGCGUUGUCCGGAUUUAUUGGGUUUAAAGGGUGCGUAGGCGGUCGAAUAAGUCAGCGGUGAAAUCCU
rnacentral:rRNA from 1 species